rnacentral:rRNA from 1 species
GAUGAACGCUAGCGGCAGGCCUAAUACAUGCAAGUCGAGGGGCAGCAGGAAUAGCAAUAUUCGCUGGCGACCGGCGCACGGGUGCGUAACACGUAUACAAUCUGCCUUUAACAGGGGAAUAGCCCGGAGAAAUCCGGAUUAAUACCCCAUAACAGUGAUCUUGGCAUCAAGGACACUUAAAAGCUCCGGCGGUUAAAGAGGAGUAUGCGUCUGAUGAGCUAGUUGGGGAGGUAACGGCUCACCAAGGCGACGAUCAGUAGGGGAUCUGAGAGGAUUAACCCCCACACGGAUGCUGAGACACGGAUCCGACUCCUACGGGAGGCAGCAGUAAGGAAUAUUGGACAAUGCCCGCAAGGGUGAUCCAGCCAUGCCGCGUGCAGGAAGACGGCCCUAUGGGUUGUAAACUGCUUUUACACCGGAGAAAACCCCACUACGUGUAGUGGGCUGAUAGUAUGGUGAGAAUAAGCAUCGGCUAACUUCGUGCCAGCAGCCGCGGUAA